UCUGAUGAACCUGCGGUACAGGAAACAAGGAUUUGCUUGUUUAAGGGAAAAAAACCUGAGGUGACGUUUCCUCCCUCUCAUGAAAUGAAUACUCUUUGUGAAAAGGCUUGGGGGUUGCCGGACAAGAGGUGGCAGAUUCCCAAGAGGAUUUACAUGGCGUAUCCUUUCCCCUCUGAUGACAGGGAAAAAUGGGAAUCAUCUCCAAAUGUUGACAAAGCUCUAUCUCGUUUGUCUAAGAAAGUGGCGCUUCCGUCUCCUGACAUGGCAGCUCUCAAGGAUCCGGCGGUUCGCAAGCUGGAGACGUCUCUGAAGUCCAUUUUCGCUAAUUCGGGUGCAUUGCUCAGACCUGCGGUGGUGUCGGUAUGGGUGAGUAGUGCUAUUGCUAAAUGGGCUGAGAAUUUAGCUAAUGAUAUGGAUACCCUUGAUAAAGAUAAUGUUCUUUUGACUCUUGGUUAUAUCAAGGACGCCGCAGAUUACCUGAAGGAUGCGGUGAGGGAUGUUUGUCUCUUGGGAUCAAGAGCCAAUGCCAUGUCGAUAUCGGCCAGGAGGGCGUUGUGGAUCCAUCAAUGGAAUGCUGAUGCCGACUCCAAGAGAGCUAUGGAAGCUUUACCAUUCAAUGGUAAUGUCUUGUUUGGGGACGGCUUGGCGGACCUAGUCUCUACCGCGACGGCGGGACUCAAGGCUUAUAAGACACAAUGAUCUCUAUGGCUACAUGCAGAGGAGCCUAACCAAGCCGAAGCGACGGGAACUGGCAGAGCCGAAGGGAGAUGGAAAUAGUCGAUCGGUGACGGAAAUAGACGACAUAUGAGCCAUAGGAAGCCAAACUAAGAUGGAAAUUACUGCGUUGAGGAGAGCCACCAGAGAGAUUAUACUUGGACAUGACCUGUAUUGCUGGAAUGAUGGUGUUCCCCUAUCUGGAGUGCAAGCCGGCUGGUCGCUAUGGACGCAUAGGCUGCACCUCCUGAUGGAUGUCACACUGGUCGAGUCAUAUGGAC